GCGCCCCGGGCAUUCUGGAGAUGACAAUGGAAAGACUUCUGUGUCUUGAGGCCUGGAACCAGGUCUAGAGGGAGGCCUUAUGCUAGACCGUCCCCCCAGGGGUGGAGCAGCGGACAGCACCCAGUUCUGAUGGGGUUUCUGAGCAUGACUAAGCCUCCGCAUCCGUUUGGAAAGUGGCUCAUUUGAGCCUGCCCUGGCCCCUGAAGAUUCAGAAUACAUAUUUACAGUUCACCCCCCCAGAUCAGUGCCUGGCAUGCUGUAGUGGCCCCAAGAAGGUCUGCUGCAGAAUCAGGUGAAUGAAUGAAACACGAGACUGUACCGCAUGAGUUGCUGGGGUCACAAAUGAGCCUCCCUGUGGCACCCCACAGCCCGCGUCUCUUGCCUCUCUGUAUAAGCAGGAGUUGGGGUCCUUUGCUGUUCCUGGCACUCGAUGAGGAAAUUGUGGUGCAGAAAGCCGGGGUGACCGGCCCAAGAAAGCAGAGCUGGCCAGUGGCCGAGGCGGGGCUGACGUUCGGUUCUCAGAGUCUGGAGCUUGUGCCCCUACCGCCAUCCCGUCCAGGAGCCCGAGGCACCUGACUCAACCUGGCUCCAGUGGAGACGUGAGACUCUGCCCUGCUCCAGCAGGGCUCCCGGGAGUUGAGACCAGAACCCAGGAUCCUGCCUCCACCCAGGGCCUCUUCCUGAUCUAGGACUGGAGUCUUCAGAUGGCUCCAUUUGGGAUGGUGGGUCUUAUCAGGGGGCUCAGCACAUGCCAUACAGCAGGCUGGGGUGCCAACAAUUCUGCAGAGUGCCCACCUGUACGUCCAGGCCUUCGUGCACGGUGUUUGCUGAGAUAAAACCCCCCUCCAAUGGGAGAAAGCCUAAAAAGGGACCCCCUGCCCCCCUCGCAGCAUCCUACUGUGGGGAAAGUGGGCGGGUAGUCAAUCUCACAAAAGGACACUCUUUCAGCCCCCACCUACCCUCUGG